AGGCCACCUUCCUCUUCUCCCUGAUCAAGUACACCCCGCUGACCUACAACAAAAAGUACACAUACCCGUGGUGGGGCGAUGCUCUGGGCUGGUUCCUGGCUCUGUCCUCCAUGGUCUGCAUUCCUGCCUGGAGCUUCUAUAAACUCGGCACCCUCAAGGGCUCCUUCAGAGAGAGAAUUCGCCAGCUCAUGUGCCCAGCUGAGGACCUGCCUGGAUGGAAGCGAGCAGAACCCUCGGCCCCUGCCACACCCAAGACAUCGCUUCUCAUACUCACAGAACUAGAGUCUCACUGCUAGGGCCGCCGGGCCCGGUAUCGUGCCCAUGGGCCUGGCUGUGGGGACGGCUGCCGAAGUGGCUCCACGGUGCGUCUCUGUCUCCACCUGCGGUAGAUGAGACGCAAGGGGAUAGUUUGGAAUCCACCUGGGCCUGGGCGCCUCCCACCAGAACUUCACUGCUCCAGGGGUGGCCGAACAGAUGUGAGAUGCUGGUAUCAAGAGCGCCCCCUUUGAGACAGGCCUGGGGAGGCCGGGUGAGGGCUGGUGGGUAGAGCGAGAGCCUAGUCCCUCUUACCCUUCAUUCCAUUAAAUCCAUGUUCUUCCCACCGAUG